rnacentral:lncRNA from 1 species
AAAGCUUUGAUUUUUAGUAUUGUUUUCUAUUUUCUGUAAACCUGCAAGAGGGAAUUUACAUGCUGAACAGACAUGUGAAGUUAAUGUAUGGGUACACAGAGGGCCUUAUUCUGAAUUCUGAUAUAUGUAAGUCACCCCUGUCUCAGAAAUUUAUCCAUCACCUUUAUCAGCUUUAUGGAAUUUAGCCUUUGAUACUUAAUUAUUUUUAUGGUUUGGUUUGGGGUUUUGGUGGGUUUUGUUUGUUUGUUGUUUUUGUUUGGUUUUGCUGUUAUUGUUUUUGUUUUGUUUUUGUUGGUUUAUUUGCUUUGUGGAUGAAGCUGAAGUGAUAAAAUGAAGUUAUGUUUUUUCACCCUUUUUGAUGUAUCUGAUAUUGUUUAAUCACAGCUUGGAUAAAGAUGUGGAAGGAAAUCAGUGAAGGAGAACCAUGAAGGGGUGAAAUGUCAAAGGUAAUGCAGGAAAGAAGCAUAAAUGGGCUAGAACAGUAAAAUGCCUGGAGAAUAAACUGCAUGGUAGAGCAGUGGAAGGAGACAAAAAUGGGGAAUCAUCUAGAACGAACUGGAUAUUCCUGCCUGAAUACUUGCAGCUGUCAGUGGAAAAGACUUUCAGUUAACCAUACAAAAGUGCAGGAAAAGGUCCUAAACAGGCAAGGAUAUAAGUUAUUUUGUGAAUUGUGAAUGGGAAUAUGCAUAAUAACAUAUAGGUAAAUGCCUUUUAUUGCUUUUUCUAGCAGAAUAACACACCUCCCACCUGCAACAGCACACUAGCAACAAUCAUAAGGAAUUUCUUGUACUAGUUUGUACAUUCGGUGGGGGCUAAAAACAUAAGCAAACUCAGUUCCAUGUUCCAAGUCAAGAAAUUAUCAUAGAAACCUCUCGUGGUUUGUUUUGCCAUUGUGUUAACCUGCCAGCCUUGCUUUUGUAACCCUUCACAGGAUGUCAGAAGCUCUUGACACAUAGGGCUGGGUGGCACAGUCAUAAUCACAUCUUACCCAAGGACCUUACUAGGCUGGGUUUUUGUUUUAACCUGAGCACAAAAUUCAACCUAAACGAUUUUGAUUUCCUCCAGCAGUAGCAGUGGCAUCACUGGAUAAACACAGCACCCUUCUCUUUGUAGUCUCUCAAUGGUUUCAGAGGUGAGCAAGCUUCUUUCCCUGUGACCCUAAAAAAAAAGGUUCUCACUGCUCCAUGGGCAGCCAGCAGCUCCCAGCACUGCCCUGGGGAAGACACCGUAUCCACAGGGAUGGUGUCUCAGGCACGGCAGUCACCACUCACCAGAGGGUCAGCAGGAGUCUUCAUUGAUGCUCUUGUGACACCCAAGAUGUUCAAAACACAUGGAUAGUGUUAAUUAAUCCUUGUAAUAGUGGGGUGAGAUAGGCAAGUAUUAUGACCCUAGAAUACUUUUUUUUUUUUUUCUAUUUCUAAUGCCUGGGGCAGCUGAAGUUUGUUUAAGUGUUUUCAGCAUCAGGAAGAAGUAAAUAGUCCCUGUUUUCCAGCGUGUGUCCUGGCCUUACUAUUCAGCUCUCCUAGUUCUAUUUCACUGAACACCUCUCAUAUCCCUUAUUAUUAUUAUUAUUAAUGUAAGAAUAAUGUUAGUAUGGUCUUGAAAAAGUGAAAUUCUGUCGUGCACCAGGUUGUUUCCUUUUUAUUUUAUUCUUCGUUUUCAAAGGGCUUGGAA